rnacentral:sRNA from 1 species
CCUCCGAGGGACGAAAGCCUGAACGGCCUUCUUCAGGGAUACAGGAUCUACUACAGGGAGCUGGAGUAUGAAGCCGGGUCAGGCACCGAGGCCAAGACGCUCAAAAGCCCUAUAGCUUUACGUGCUGAGCUCACAGCCCAAAGCAGCUUCAAGACGGUGAACAGCAGCUCCACAUCGACAAUGUGUGAACUAACACAUUUAAAGAAGUACCGGCGCUAUGAAGUAAUAAUGACCGCCUAUAAUAUCAUCGGUGAGAGCCCAGCCAGUGCGCCCGUGGAGGUCUUUGUCGGCGAGGCUGAUCAGAUCCUGUCCCUAUCCCUCUCCGGGCCAAGCGUGCCUCAAGUAAUGAGAGCAACGCCAUCCCUUCGGCGAAGGAGACCACAGAACUUCACCUUCCUCGCUAGCUGGUGACUUUAAAGAGUUCCCUGACUUU